AACGACGCCAGGAUCCAAGAUGGCGUCCUGGGCCCUCUCAGACGUUUGUACGGCGUCUCCCUGCGUAGCCAGACCCUUGCGCAUGAAUCCUUCCCCUCUCCAUCCUGGCCACUGUGCCUAUCCAUGUCCCACCUGGGGGCUGGAGAGAAUCAGAAUCCGACAGAGACACCCUGGAAAGGAACAAGAGCUUGCCUGGGCUGGCCCUGACGUGUAUUCCUCAGGACAUCAAGUAUGUGUCAGGUCUUGGGGGACUGUGAGCCUUACAUGUUUUGACAGAGUGGCUGGGAUGCUCUCUGAGUUAUUCAGUUUCUAUAGCAGUACUCGGAACUUGCCCCAGGACAAAUGUGUCUGCUGAACAUAUUUUUGGGUUUUGCUCUCUGUUUUAUAUGAUUGUUUUAUAAAGGUUUUCUCGUGUAAGUGGAGCUUGUACCUGUACUAGGGGAAGUGGAUCCUGAGAACCUUUAAUGCAGUAAGAGGUGGAUGGGGGUAAGGAAUAUGACUGCAAAUGGACAUAGGGUUUCUUUCUGUGACUAUAUUAAAAACCACUGAACUGUAUAGUUUAAAUGGCUGAAUUAUAUUGUAUGUGAAUGUAUCUCAAUAAAGCUGUUAAAGUUUUUUUU